AUGCAAGUAGCAUUACACAUAAUGUGUGUGUGUGUAAUGGUACAGCUGUGUGUAAUAGUGUGUGUGUAUACAUUUAACAAUGUGUACAUCACCAACAUCAUUUCACAUUCACUUUCCCAUUCUUUCAUGGGCUGGAUGGAUUUGGUUGAGGCACGCUUUCUACAGCUGGAUGCCCUUCCUGUCACCAACUUUCAAUUAUUUCCAAGAUUGGAAAUUAAGGACUCCACUUGCAUGAUGGCGACACUAACAACUACCAAAAACCACACACAAAUUCUGCCGAGGUCGACUUUGCCUUUCAUCCUUUCAGGCUUGAUAAAUUAAGUACCAGUUGCAUACUGGGGUCGAUCUAAUCAACUGGCCCCCUCCCCCAAAAUUUCGGGCCUUGUGCCUAGAGUAGAAAAGAUUAUAUUCAAAACAAGUUGGUGAGCUGACAGAAACGUUAGCACACCAGGCGAAAUGCUUAACAGUAUUUCGUCUGUCUUUAUGUUCUGAGUUCAAAUUCCACUGAAGUCGACUUUGCCUUUCAUCCUUUCGGGGGUUGAUAAAUUAAGUACCAGUGGAACACUGGGGUUGAUAUGAUCGACUGGCCCCCUCCCCUUAAAUUUCAGACCUUGUGCCUAAAUAGAAAAAGCCAUUUGUACACAAGUAACAUAGCACAAUGUGUAAUAAUUCUUUCUACAGAAGGCACGAGGCCUUGAAAUUUGGUGGGAGGGGGGACUUGUUGAUUACAACGACCCCAGUGUUUCACUGGUACUUAAUUUAUCAACCCUGAAAGGCUGAAAGGCAAAGUUGACCUCGGCAGAAAGCACAAGGUGUAAUAAUGUGUAUACACACAUGUAACAUUUGCCAGAAUGAGUCAUAACAUGUGUACACAUCUUAACUCAUUGUUUGUCAUGUGUAAUAAUGACUACACAUCUUAAUUCAUUGUCCAUAGCGUGUAAUUAUAUGUGUACACAUCUUAAUUCAUUGUCUAUAGCGUGUAAUAAUAUGUGUGUACACACCUUAAUGUUCUGUUGUGGGUAACAAUGUGUGUACACGUUCACUCAUUGCUGUGUAUAAUCAUAUAAUACAUAUGUCACUGCCUGCUGUGUGUGAACGUGUUAUAUCCCUGUGUUUAGUGUGUAAUUAUGUGUGUAUACAUAUAUCUGUCUGUAGUGUGUAAUAAAGUGUCUACACACGCUACCUCACGGCCUCGGGUGUGUAAUAAGGUUUCGUAUACAUGUAAGCUAAUUUACAAUGACAUGUAAUAUGUGUAAACACGUUGCAUCAUGUGUAAUGUUGUUGUAUGUGUGUGUGUGUGUAUGAUAGAGGGGAGGAAGGGCGGAGUGCCAAAGUGCACUCGAUGGAGAGGAAGAAGAAAGAAAGGACGAUGUGUAAUGUUGAAGUGUAAACAUCUGUGUAAGCGUGGAGGGGAGAGGAGAAGUGUUGUAACAGAGAGUGCAAAGUGUACGAGCGAGGUUGAGGGCGAACGCUGCAGUAGGAGGGGGGGGGGGGCUGCGUGACAGUGUGUGAAUGUAUGUGUACAUGUGUGUGUGUGUACAGAACAUUUGUGCGCACGCGUGAGUGUGUGUGCGUGCGUGAGUGCCAUUGUGUGUGUGUGUGUGUGUGGAAAGUGUGAGACCAUAUGUACGUAUACGUAUGUGUGUGUACAGGAGUGUGUGUACGUACAUCCGCAAGUGUCCAUGUCUCUCGCGUAUCCGUGUGCGUAAAUAUAUGUGUGUGUGUAAAUGUGUGUAAGUGUAUGAAUAUAUUUGUGUGUAUGUCUUGUGUGUGACAGAGAGAGAGAUAGAUAGAUAGAUAGAUAAAGAGAGAGAGAGAGUGUGUGUGUGUAUGUCUUGUGUGUGUGACAGAGAUAGAUAGAUAGAGAGAGAGAGAGAGACAGACAGACAGACAGAGAGCUUCUAUGAGAAAUAGUCACGAGAUAUUAGUCAUAUGAUGGGCGCUUUCUACAUUUCCAGGAUUAUUCUAGAUAAAACUAGAAAUGCUGGUGUUUAACCGCUCAUUAGCUGGGCAACUCGUGAAGACAUGUAUCGAGUGAAAUCUACCUCCUCAUGGAACCUAUUAACACCUGGACGUCUAACGUGUCAUUGUGUCAAACUUAAGGUUGAGCGGUUCUCAUUUGCGGCUCCACAGCAGAAGUGGCAACAAUGGUGGGACAUGACCCACCGUUUCAGCUCAUGAGCUGUGGCCAUGCUGGGGCACCGCCAUUUGGUGUUGCUACACAAUUUUACUUCACGAAUUUUACUUCAGGAAUUGACAUUUGGUGCAUGAGAGAGUUUGAUGCAGCUGCUCUCAUCUGCGCCUCCUGCCAUGAAGUUGGUUCAUCUGGGACACCUGACAGGAAGGGGUCCAGCCUCAUCUUGAAGACACCUACAUCCACCGCAUGCAGAUCUCUCAGGUCCUUCGGGAGGAUAUUGAAGAGCUGUGAACCUCUGAAGCCCAGGCUAUUGCAGUAUCUUGUCCUACAUCUUGAUGGAAAUUUGGAGUCCUUGGC